UACAAUACUCCUAACAUUAGUAAUUUAUAGAGUUUUUUACUGUAUGUUUCAAUGAUAUAAUUAGCUAAAUGAAGAUUUUGGUACUAGUUAAAUAACUAAAAUAUUAUUAAAAUUAAUUUCUUAUCUCAGAUAUUGCCAUUUACCAACGCGCCAAACACAAUACCUGCUCCGAAUAUGACUUAGCGACGUCGAAGUUUGCUAAAUCAGUAUAUCUCUUUAAUUUUCCCUCUCCAUG
rnacentral:lncRNA from 1 species